CACCUAAUAUGCUUAAUUGGUAGUAGGCUUUCGAGCCUAUACAGCUUUGAGUGAGACAACAUGCAUGAAGAGGAUGAUGUGGACAAAAUACUCAUUUGUCUAAUAAUUCUGCACUCCCUGUACAACAGCUCAUUAUCUCACAGCGGACUGGCGACUGCUGUCUUACGUUCUCCAAACUCGAACAUUACAUGAGAGUCACACCGGAGCGAACAUUGCAAAUCUCCUGCAAAAUGCAGCACAGGAAUGGGGGAUUGCUGACAAAAAUCUGGUGGUUGUCACCGACAAUGCUUCUAAUAUGACAGUUGCCACUCAGCUAGCGGGAUACUUGCAUGUGAAGUGUUUCGCCCAUACGCUCAAUCUGGCAUCACAACCAGCCUUAAACCUGCCUGCAGUAGCCAGAGUCUUGGGGAGAGUGCGGCGCAUAAUUGGGUUUUUCAAUAGAAGCACAGUGGCAAACCACGCUCUGGAGCAAAAACAGAAAAUGUUACAGCUCCCGACUCACAAGCUCAAGACCGACGUCUGCACGAGAUGGAACAGUGCUUAUGACAUGCUCCAGCGUUUCCUUGAACAACAACCUGCGAUUUGUGCAGCGCUGCUGUCUCCCGAAGUCAGAAAGAGUAGCAGAGAUAUCUUUACUCUAAAUGAGACGGAUAUUGGGAACACUGAAGAAAUUGUCCGGGCCUUGAAGUCAAUGCAAGUCGCGACUACUGUGAUGUCUGAGGAAAAGAAUCCUACUCGGUCUCUCGUAGCACCGCUGCUAGCACAGCUGUUGCACGACAUCCAAGACAACAUUGGUGACACAGCGCUGGUCAGAAACAUCUAGCAAAGUAUCAGUCAAGAUCUUAAGAAGAGAUAUGCCAGCACAGUCGAGAGGAACACCCUCUACACAGCAUCAGCUCUCGACCCACGCUUUAAAACCCUGCCGUUCCUAUCACUGGAGGAAAGACAGGAAACCUAUGUCAGAGUGGUUGCUGAGGCUAUAACCCUUCAGGAAGAAAAGAGGCAGCAGCCCAUCUGUGAGCCAGAAGCCCAUGAACAUCAUGAGAAACCUGACGAGACUGAACAAAAUCCCAGACCCUCUCUCAUACCAGCCAAGAUGAGGAAGUCUUGUGGGUUAACAGACUUGCUUGGUCAGACUUAUGGUGAUGUUGGAGCCCCACCAAAAUCAUUAUCUGCCACAGCUGAGGAGGAGGUGAAAAGAUACCAGGAGGUCACGCCACUGGCACUCACAGAAGACCCACUAAGCUGGUGGAAAUCCCAUGAGGAAGUCUAUCCUUUCCUGGCCACACUGGCAAAAAGAUACCUUUGUAUCCCAGGUACUAGUGUCUCAGCUGAAAGAGUCUUCUCAACCGCUGGAGACA